GCUUGUCACCACAAAAUCCACAAGUUAUUUAAUCUGUCCGUUUCCUGCCAGUGCUCUUGCUUUCUGUCCGCACCUUUUACUGAAACCAAUCAUAACAGGGGUAUGAAACAUCACCUGAAUAUGUGCAUGGUGGAAAUGAGCAUUUUGAUUUCCCAGCGUGCACAAAAAAAAGUGAGCGUAUGGAGGAGUCUCCAAAAGGUCUCCGCGAUUUCAUUGCAAGUCCCUGGCAACCCGGCUCGUCUCCAGGAGACGUCACGGAGACGUCUCCGCAACCAGCGGAGGCUGAGGUCGCC